rnacentral:lncRNA from 1 species
CUUGGAGAUCAUUUUCAGUCUAAUCCUUUCAGCCCCUGAGGCUCAGCUGGUGUAGGGACUUCUCUCAUCUGCCACUUCCAGUGUGACCUCCUCUCACUAAACCUUUUUUCUUGGCUGUGAAAUGGGGCAAUAAAUAACUGAGUUUACAGGUUGCUAUGCGGAUUCAAUGAGAUAAUUCAUGGAAAGCACUUAGCACAAUGCCUGACUCUAAUUAAGUAACAACAUAUAAUAUUAUCAAAUUGCUACUGACCUAUAGGAGGUAGAGAGGGACACAUUUUUUAUCAAGACUAGUACAAUUAUUAGUAAAGAUUAUGGAAGUAAAUUUGAGAUUCAAGUAGCUAAACCAAUUUUUUGUUGUUCCCAGUAUGAAUAAUGAUGAUACCAUAUUACAAUAAUAGUAAAACCAACAAUAACUGCAACAAUAAUUAUAUCAUACUAAACACUAACCAUAGCUAACAUUCCCUGGAUGCUUAUCAUUAGGUUGGUGUGAAAGCCAUUGUGGUUUUUGCCGUUAAAAGUAAUUGGAAAAAGAGCAAUUACUUUUGCACCAACCUAAUAUAUGCCAAGCACUAAAUGAAGCACUUCACUUGGAUUAUCUCAUUUGAUUCUUCAAACGUGUAUGAUGUGUAUAAUACUAUCACCAGUUUAUAGAUGAAGCAACUGAGGCCUAGUGAGAUUAGGUAUUGGGCCCAAGGCCUGGAGCUUGUACGUGGAACUCACAUUGGAAUCCAGACUGCCUGGCUCUCUAAAUUGCUCUCUUAACCACUACACUAGCUCCCACAUGAAUAUACCAGUGAACAAAAUGCUCUUUCCAUUGGUGGCAAAUUAGGUGCUAUUUGUUUUCUGGCCUGAUGCUGUGAUACAUUUUAAAGAAAAUACAUGGUUGCAAGUUGAAAAAGAGAGUAGCUUGAAAACAAAAGAAAGGAGGAUUGGAAAAUCUGUUAACCUCCUGUGUGCUGUGCCAGGGACAGUCACAUGCAUGAACUCAAUAACCCUUUGUGGAUAUGACCUACAUAGUCAUGGAGAGCAAACCUUAGCCUCAGAGAAGUUAAGUCAUGUGCCCAGGAUAUAAACUAGUAAGUGAAGGGGCUGGGAUUUGAGCCUGAGCCCAAAGCCCAAGCUAGCUCAAAAAAGAUGCGGAGCCCUGACUUGUAUUUUGACCCAGAGGAAAAUUAGAUCUCUC